GGCUUGGUGGUCUAGCGGUAUGAUUCUCGCUUAGGGUUCACCCUGAAAGCAAAGUUGCGAGAGGUCCCGGGUUCAAUCCCCGGCCAAGCCC
rnacentral:tRNA from 1 species